rnacentral:lncRNA from 7 species
UGUCACUGUCUUUGUGACUGUGAACUGUUUGUGGUGUGAAAGUAUUAUUAAGAAGCUGUUAUGGGACAAGGGGUGUGUAAGAAGAUACCAGAAAUGAUCCCUGGGUUGUAUUUUGGCUCACAGGAGAGACGUUGUGGGUGAAGACAGAGGGAACAUCAAAUGAGAAACUGGGAAGAGAUAUGAAGUAGCGGGACCAGUUUUUCUAAAAAGCUCAACUGAUCAAAGAGAAGGAAGGAAGCAAUUUGCUGGGCUCCCAGGACACCAACGCAGAGCUACCUUCGAGCCGGCACUGUGUGACUGCAUGGAGACUGUCUGUGCCAGUGGGCCAGA